rnacentral:rRNA from 1 species
UACGGGGGGGGUAAGCGUUGUUCGGAAUUACUGGGCGUAAAGGGCUCGUAGGCGGCCAACUAAGUCAUACGUGAAAUCCCUCAGCUUAACUGGGGAACUGCGUGUGAUACUGGAUGGCUUGGAUUUGGGAGAGGGAUGCGGAAUUCCAGGUGUAGCGGUGAAAUGCGUAGAUAUCUGGAGGAACACCGGUGGCGAAGGCGGCAUCCUGGACCAAUAUUGGACGCUGAGGAGCGAAAGCCAGGGGAGCAAACGGG